rnacentral:rRNA from 1 species
UACGUAGGCAGCAAGCGUUGUUCGGAGUUACUGGGCGUAAAGGGUGUGUAGGCGGUUGUUUAAGUUUGGUGUGAAAUCUCCCGGCUCAACUGGGAGGGUGCGCCGAAUACUGAAUGACUUCGAGUGCGGGAGAGGAAAGUGGAAUUCCUGGUGUAGCGGUGAAAUGCGUAGAUAUCAGGGGGAACACCGGUGGUGUAGACGGCUUUCUGGACCGUAACUGACGCUGAGACACGAAAGCGUGGGUAGCAAACAGG